GACGAACGCUGGCGGCGUGCUUAACACAUGCAAGUCGAACGGGGUCCAUGGAGUAGCAAUACUCUUGAAGACCUAGUGGCGAACGGGUGAGUAACACGUGAGCAACCUGCCCCAAAGACUGGGAUAACCCCGGGAAACCGGAGCUAAUACCGGAUGUCCCCAUCGGGUCGCAUGGCCUGAUGAGGAAAUGAAUUUCGCUUUGGGAGGGGCUCGCGGGAUAUCAGCUUGUUGGGGGGUAACGGCCUACCAAGGCUUCGACGUCUAGCUGGUCUGAGAGGACGAUCAGCCACACUGGGACUGAGACACGGCCCAGACUCCUACGGGAGGCAGCAGUGGGGAAUCUUGCCCCAAUGGGCGAAAGCCUGAGGCAGCAACGCCGCGUGCGGGAUGACGGCCU
rnacentral:rRNA from 1 species